UACGAAGGGGGCGAGCGUUGUUCGAAAUUACUGGGCGUAAAGGGCGCGCAGGCGGCUCUGAAAGUCAGAUGUGAAAGCCCCGGGCUUAACCUGGGAAUUGCAUUUGAUACUCUGGAGCUUGAGUACGGGAGAGGAGAGUGGAAUUCCCAGUGUAGAGGUGAAAUUCGUAGAUAUUCGCAAGAACACCAGUGGCGAAGGCGGCUCACUGGCCCGGUACUGACGCUGAGGUGCGAAAGCGUGGGGAGCAAACAGG
rnacentral:rRNA from 1 species